rnacentral:rRNA from 1 species
ACAAGUACCGUGAGGGAAAGUUGCAAAGCACUUUGAAGAGAGAGUUAAAGAGGACGUGAAACCGGUAAGGUGGAAACGGAUAGAGUCGGCGUAUCAUUCAUGUAUUCAGUUACAUUAUUUUUAUGUUGUGACCUCUGAGCUCCAGAUUGGGACAGAGGGAAUCAGCAUAAUUUUUUGUGGUGCUUUUACUUGAUUGGUGCUUGGGGAUGUUUGAGGCAGAUUUGUUUCCGCCGUUUUGAGGCCAGCUUGCUGGUACCCAAACGGUGUUAGCAUUUUUUGUCUUGAACAUUUGAGUAUGGCUUACGGGCAUUUAUUGGUUCGAUCUGAGUGUAAGUUACGGUCGCAUGCGACACGUGCUUUCCAAUUAGUUCGGUCCAGUUAAUGCUCUCGUACUCGUUCCCCAUGUAAAAGCCGGUCAUCUAUCCGACCCGUCUUGAAACACGGACCAAGGAGUUUAUCGUGUGCGCAAGUUUUUGGGUGUUAAAAACCUAAAGGCGAAAUGAAAGUAAAUGGCUCUUUAGAGUCUGAUGUGCGAUCUAGUAAAAAAGUGCAGCAUGGCCCCAUUCUAACUGUUUACAGUAGGGUGGAGGAAGAGCGUACGCGGUGAGACCCGAAAGAUGGUGAACUAUUCCUGAGCAGGACGAAGCCAGAGGAAACUCUGGUGGAAGUCCGAAGCGGUUCUGACGUGCAAAUCGAUCGUCUGACUUGGGUAUAGGGGCGAAAGACUAAUCGAACCAUCUAGUAGCUGGUUCCUUCCGA